AUUUAUAUAGUAUACAAACAAUAUAUUUGACUUCCAAUCAAAGGACCUAAUUAUUUUUAGUAUAAAUA
rnacentral:tRNA from 1 species